AACGCGAAGAACCUUACCUACUCUUGACAUCCUGCGAAUCUAGCUGAGAGGCUGGAGUGCCGAAAGGAACGCAGAGACAGGUGCUGCAUGGCUGUCGUCAGCUCGUGUUGUGAGAUGUUGGGUUAAGUCCCGUAACGAGCGCAACCCUUGUCCUUAGUUGCCAGCAUUUAGUUGGGGACUCUAAGGAGACUGCCGGUGAGGAACCGGAGGAAGGCGGGGACGACGUCAAGUCAUCAUGGCCUUUAUGAGUAGGGCUACACACGUGCUACAAUGGGACGUACAGAGAGUCGCCAACCCGCAAGGGGGAGCCAAUCUCACAAAGCGUCUCGUAGUCCGGAUUGGAGUCUGCAACUCGACUCCAUGAAGUUGGAAUCGCUAGUAAUCGCGAAUCAGCAACGUCGCGGUGAAUACGUUCCCGGGCCUUGUA
rnacentral:rRNA from 1 species